rnacentral:rRNA from 1 species
UACGAAGGGUGCUAGCGUUGUUCGGAAUUACUGGGCGUAAAGCGUGCGUAGGCGGGCAUUUAAGUCGGAUGUGAAAUCCCCGGGCUCAACCUGGGAACUGCAUUCGAGACUGGAUGCCUAGAGUAUGGUAGAGGAAAGUGGAACUCCCGGUGUAGCGGUGAAAUGCGUAGAUAUCGGGAAGAACACCAGUGGCGAAGGCGGCUUUCUGGACCAAUACUGACGCUGAGGUACGAAAGCGUGGGGAGCAAACAGG